GAUUGUCCGUAGGACAAUGGUAGGAGAGCGUUCUAAGGGCGUUGAAGCAUGAUCGCAAGGACAUGUGGAGCGCUUAGAAGUGAGAAUGCCGGUGUGAGUAGCGAAAGACGGGUGAGAAUCCCGUCCACCGAUUGACUAAGGUUUCCAGAGGAAGGCUCGUCCGCUCUGGGUUAGUCGGGACCUAAGCUGAGGCCGAAAGGCGUAGGCGAUGGACAACAGGUUGAUAUUCCUGUACCACCUCAAUUCGUUUUAAGCGAUGGGGGGACGCAGUAGGAUAGGCGAAGCGUACGAUUGGAUUGUACGUCCAAGCAGUAAGACUGAGUA
rnacentral:rRNA from 1 species